UACAGAGGGGGCAAGCGUUGUUCGGAAUUACUGGGCGUAAAGGGCGCGUAGGCGGCCUGUUAAGUCAGACGUGAAAUCCCCUCGGCUCAACCGGGGAACUGCGUCUGAUACUGGCGGGCUUGAAUUCGGGAGAGGGAUGUGGAAUUCCAGGUGUAGCGGUGAAAUGCGUGAGAUAUCGUAAAGGAAGACCAGUGGCGAAAGGCGGGU
rnacentral:rRNA from 1 species